rnacentral:rRNA from 1 species
AUGAACGCUGGCGGCGUGCUUAACACAUGCAAGUCGAACGAAGCGCUUUAUUUGAUUUCCUUCGGGACUGAUUAUUUUGUGACUGAGUGGCGGACGGGUGAGUAACGCGUGGGUAACCUGCCUUGUACAGGGGGAUAACAGUUGGAAACGGCUGCUAAUACCGCAUAAGCGCACAGCAUCGCAUGAUGCAGUGUGAAAAACUCCGGUGGUAUAAGAUGGACCCGCGUUGGAUUAGCUAGUUGGUGAGGUAACGGCCCACCAAGGCGACGAUCCAUAGCCGACCUGAGAGCGUGACCGGCCACAUUGGGACUGAGACACGGCCCAAACUCCUACGGGAGGCAGCAGUGGGGAAUAUUGCACAAUGGGCGAAAGCCUGAUGCAGCGACGCCGCGUGAGCGAAGAAGUAUUUCGGUAUGUAAAGCUCUAUCAGCAGGGAAGAUAAUGACGGUACCUGACUAAGAAGCACCGGCUAAAUACGUG